rnacentral:lncRNA from 10 species
AUCGGACAGUGCCAAUGAGGUGUUUAUCUUCUCUGUACGGAUUCCACAGAGACGUUCUGGCAAAACUGACUAAAUGAAGGAUUCAAGUAAAAUUUAACCAAAAUAUGGAGAAGAAACAGAAGCCGGCAGUUCUGAGCAUUUUCUCAGAAGAACUGGGGCCAGCACUAGCAGAAAAAGCGGUACCAUUUCAAUAUUUUUAUGAAAGUUCACAUCACAAAUAACAAAACCCGUGCGAUUAUUUUGUUUUAUGAGGAGAUGGGAUAGGAACUGAGUAUAAUCCUAACGGGGCAGUAGCAACGAAUUUGGGGGCCAAUGGCAGAAAGGCAGGAGAGAGAGGUGCAGCUUUGAAAGCAGGUAUUCUCACUUUACUGUCUCACAUAAGUUAGUGCUGUUAACUUUUCUGACCUGCAUCAAUCUAUGGCGAGAGAAGGAGCUGGUUUGAGACAUAGACGGGCAUAGAACAUUAUAAAGUGCUUUAAAACAUUUUUAAAGUCCACUUCAGACAAAUAUGUGAGGUGGGUAGCGCAGUAUAUUACUUGGCUUUGCAGCAGGAACAACUCGCAAAUCUCAGUGGCUUACAAUGACAAAGUUUAUUUAUCAUUCAGGUUUUAUGUAAGCUGUAGAUCAGCUGCAUCUCUGCUUCCUGUGUCCUCUUUGUUCUAGAAUGCAGGCUGAAAGAGCAGCCUCCUUAGGAGCAUGCUGUUCUCAUAAUAAAAGGAGUGGCAAAUGUUACAUUCCACUGGGCAAAACACAUCACAUGGCCAGGUCCAAAGACAGUGGGGUGAAAAUACAUACUCCUACCUCAGGUGGAUAGUAAUACAGUAUACUGCUGGCAUAUUUUAUUAUUAUGAUUGUACUUCUCAUUUUAUACAAGUGGAAAUCAAGGCAUAGAGAGGUUAGAUGAAUUGCCCAAGACCACACUACAGACAAGUGUCAGAGGCCAAUUUGAAACUGAAUUCUGACCCAAGGUAGUUACUUUUUAUACCGUACCAACUAGAAUGGCAUUUCUUUCAUUUACUCAUCCAACUUUGUUGAAAUUUGCCUGGAGAACAAUUUCCUUUCUAAUAACCAAG